AUUUUAAAUGUGAUAUUAUUGGUUUAAACAUAAGAAUUAAUUUAUUUCUUUUUUUACUUUAGCUUAUCUUUCCGUCUUUGUUUAUUUAUGUAUGUGUUUGUUUUUUCUUUUGCAUCACCUUAAUAACUUAAUGGUGUUUCUAGUAAAAAGGAGUUAGCUGGUGACAGAACAUAAGUUUACUAAGUAUAUCUUGUAAGGAUGUUACUCCCUCCACCACCACUCCUUCUCCUUCCACGUUCUCACAAACUUUUUAAUGGCAAAAUCAUCCUUUAAUUUUUAAUCAUUUUAUUUUUAACCUUAUUUAUUUACCAAAUCCUAAAUAAUUCCUCACUUUCAAUCUCAGCCUCAUCCCCCAGCUUUCUCUCACUCUUUCUCUCUUUGAGAUCCGUUUCUUCCCACCUCCAUCUCACUCUCUUCUUUUUUUCCAUGAGAUCCGUUUUUUCUCACCCCAACUCUUUCAAUGUUGUGUUUUGUUUUGUUUUGUUCUGGUCACAAAUAUGUACUAGAGUAUUUUCCAUUAAAUGUUUAUUAAAAUAAAGGUGGUUUCUUAUUUACUAUAUCUAACAGAGUAUAUUUUCAGGUAUGGAUUACCAUUGUUGCUUUUGUCAUAGUUGAAUUGAGGGAAUUAAUAAUUCUAAUAUAACUAUCAUCAUGGCCAAGUUGAAUGAAUUAUGAAUUUAUUGAUUGUGAUGCCUGAUGCAUACGAAAACCUUUAGGAGAAAGAGAAAUGUUGACACACAAAUUGAACGUGUAUGAUGCAGGGGAACUCAUCUUGCUCACCAAACACGUCAAAAUCGUAGAUCCCUCCAUACAAAACAAAAGAAAACAAACAAAUGAAGAAUUGGGGUAAGAAAAAACAGAUCUCACCGAAUGAGAGAAGAGAGUGAGAUGGAGGUGAGAAGAAACGGAUCUCAAAGAGAAAAAGAGUAACAGAAAGUUGGGGGUGGGGCUGAGAGUGAAAGUGAAGAAUUAUUUAGGAUUUGAAAAUAAAUAAAGUUAAAAGUAAAAUAGUUAAAAAUUAAAGGAUAGUUUUGCCAUUAUAAAGUUUGUGGAUGAAUUGGAAGGAGAAGAAGUGGUGGUAGAGGGAGCAACACCUAUCUUGUAAUGUA
rnacentral:lncRNA from 1 species